GGAAGUUUGGAAAUCAGUGUAAAGGCUACUGACAAGAUUUUUUAUGUGAUCGGGAAUGUGAUGAUAUUUGACAACCUCAUAAAUAAGGUUAUCGUGGACUUUGCCAAAUGCAUUUUUGAGAUCUAAUAGUGUUAUGAUAAGUGAUCGUUGUUUUACUUGCGCUUUAUUAAUGAUAUGUGCCAACUGAGCUGUGUGUUCUAGUGUUCCUGAGAGUUUUGGAGUUAAACUUUUCUGUAUGCAUGUUCUGUUUCCUUUCUGUUUUUUUUUUGUUUUUCUGUUUUCUUUCUGUUUGUUUUUU